rnacentral:lncRNA from 1 species
CUGAUGAGCAAAAAGUGUUUGUCAGCCUUAAGGCAAUCUUUUUGAAAAAGGAGUUUCUUGGUGAAGGGAUUGUUGCCUCUAAGGUCGAACUUGACGAAAUUCGACAGGUGAAAAAUCUGACGCAAGCUGCUGAACCUGAACCAGAUUUGAUUAGAUCAGAUCCGGAGCCCAUUGUUCAAGCACCCUUAAGGCGAUCUGGUAGAGUACCACGUCAACCGGACAGAUACUAUGAUUUCUUG